CGGGGGGAGCAAGCGUUGUUCGGAUUUACUGGGCGUAAAGGGCGCGUAGGCGGCCAGCACAAGUCAGUUGUGAAAUCUCCGAGCUUAACUCGGAAAGGUCAACUGAUACUGUGCGGCUAGAGUGCAGAAGGGGCAACUGGAAUUCUUGGUGUAGCGGUGAAAUGCGUAGAUAUCAAGAGGAACACCUGCGGCGAAGGCGGGUUGCUGGGCUGACACUGACGCUGAGGCGCGAAAGCCAGGGGAGCGAACGGGAUUAGAUACCCCGGUAGUCCUGGCCUUAAACGAUGAAUGCUUGGUGUCUGGGGUUAUAAAGUCCCCGGGUGCCGUCGCUAACGCUUUAAGCAUUCCGCCUGGGGAGUACGGUCGCAAGACUG
rnacentral:rRNA from 1 species